rnacentral:rRNA from 1 species
CAGUCGCCGCGGUAAUACGUAGGGUGCAAGCGUUAAUCGGAAUUACUGGGCGUAAAGCGUGCGCAGGCGGUUUGUUAAGACAGAUGUGAAAUCCCCGGGCUCAACCUGGGAACUGCAUUUGUGACUGGCAAGCUAGAGUGUGGCAGAGGGGGGUGGAAUUCCGCGUGUAGCAGUGAAAUGCGAAGAUAUGCGGAGGAACACCGAUGGCGAAGGCAGCCCCCUGGGCCUGCACUGACGCUCAUGCACGAAAGCGUGGGGAGCAAACAGGAUUAGAUACCCCGGUAGUCCCUGUCUCUUAUAC